CACAUGGAACAUGCUCAGACAAGCCAGUAUUUACACAGUAACUAGGAGCUGCAAAAUUAAUCAGAGAAGCAGUGGAUGCCAACAAAAAGCUACUCCAGAAAAAACCCAAAACAUAUGUCUCCCUUCAAAAGAAAAAUCUGCUUUUUCACAGCUACAAAGGAUUGAAAACAAAUUUUAUCAUCAAACGUGGAGCUGUGCCAAAUCACAGGCAGCCAGAAGAAAGCUUUGGCACGAAAAGAGCUUUGAUGCCAAGAGGAACAAAGAUGAAACAGCUUUGAGUGAGAAAAAGAGCAAUGAGAUUGCUGCAGCCCACAGGUAAAUAAUAACCUGAGUGUACAGCACCUGGGGGUGGGCUGAUAGAGGCACAUGUAAAGGGAUUUAAAAUUCUGGGAUGCAGGACUUCAGAAAAUGUUUAGUACCUUACUGCUUAUUGGGAAAAAAAGGGAGCAAAAGAGUCACCAAGCAAUUUCUCCCUCAGCUGUGACCAACAAGGCAGUGGAGGAAGGCAGUGCCUGAUAUCAUGGCAUAAUUUCUCAUAUCAGAUCACAAUUUGCACUGUACUUCCCUAAUAUUAUCUUUAUUUGCCAGGCUGCUGGUGACUGGCAAAGUGCUGAUUCUGUGGAG
rnacentral:lncRNA from 1 species